rnacentral:rRNA from 1 species
UGGGGAAUAUUGCACAAUGGGCGAAAGCCUGAUGCAGCGACGCCGCGUGGAGGAUGAAGGUCUUCGGAUUGUAAACUUCUGUUAAGUGAGAGAAAAGCGGUACCGUGAACAACGGUAAAAGAUGAUAGUAUCACUAGAGAAAGCCCCGGCUAACUUCGUGCCAGCAGCCGCGGUAAUACGAGGGGGGCGAGCGUUAUUCGGAAUUACUGGGCGUAAAGAGCGUGAAGGUGGUAGUGUAAGUCAAUGGUUAAAUCUCAUGGCCUAACUAUGAGGCAGCUGUAGAAACUACACAACUAGAGUGCGGAAGAGAGAAGUGGAAUUCUCGGAGUAGCGGUUAAAUGCGUGGAUCUCGAGAGGAACACCGAUGGCGAAAGCAGCUUCUUGGUCCGUUACUGACACU